rnacentral:ncRNA from 1 species
CAACGACAAUGGCAAACUUGGUGAAAGCCAGGGACGCAAAGCUAUGGGUCUUCCAGAAUAAUUCUGAUGACUGCCAGGCCACCGAA